rnacentral:rRNA from 1 species
UGGGUAACCUGCCUCAAAGAGGGGAAUAGCCUCCCGAAAGGGAGAUUAAUACCGCAUAAUAUGUUUAGGUCGCAUGACUUUAACAUCAAAGGAUUUUCUUUUAGAAAUUCCACUUUGAGAUGGACCCGCGGCGCAUUAGCUAGUUGGUGAGGUAACGGCUCACCAAGGCAACGAUGCGUAGCCGACCUGAGAGGGUGAUCGGCCACAUUGGAACUGAGAUACGGUCCAGACUCCGUAGG